rnacentral:rRNA from 1 species
CCUACGGGAGGCAGCAGUGAGGAAUAUUGGUCAAUGGACGAGAGUCUGAACCAGCCAAGUAGCGUGAAGGACGACUGCCCUAUGGGUUGUAAACUUCUUUUAUAUGGGAAUAAAACGUUCCACGUGUGGGAUUUUGUAUGUACCAUAUGAAUAAGGAUCGGCUAACUCCGUGCCAGCAGCCGCGGUAAUACGGAGGAUCCGAGCGUUAUCCGGAUUUAUUGGGUUUAAAGGGAGCGUAGGUGGAUUGUUAAGUCAGUUGUGAAAGUUUGCGGCUCAACCGUAAAAUUGCAGUUGAAACUGGCAGUCUUGAGUACAGUAGAGGUGGGCGGAAUUCGUGGUGUAGCGGUGAAAUGCUUAGAUAUCACGAAGAACUCCGAUUGCGAAGGCAGUUCACUGGACUGCAACUGACACUGAGGCUCGAAAGUGUGGGUAUCAAACAGGAUUAGAUACCCCUGUAGUC